rfam:Theobroma cacao cultivar Matina 1-6 chromosome 2, whole genome shotgun sequence.
GUGAGCCGCAUGCAGGGGAACUUGCAUGUGUGGUUCUUAGGACGGGCUAGCACUGCUACCUCUCACUCUGCAAAUCUCUAUAGAUUCUUAAUUCUAAUGGAAAGUUAGAAACCUCCCCUAAUACAGUUAUACACUGAAUAGAGUACAUACCUUAUUCUGC